rnacentral:snoRNA from 1 species
CCCCUCCCACAAAGGCGUGUCUGCAGCCCCGUGUGCCGGCGCGUAAGAACCGGAGGCAGAGAGGCAGGGACGGGAGCGUCCCGGGGGCGACUGGCUCCCUCGUGGGCCCCGGGACCACCCCCCGUCCUACAAGGC